CUUAUGAAAUGCUUGUAAUUAUACUUCAGUAUUCCAUAGUAACAUCUGACAAAAAAAUCUAAAGACACUGAAGCAGCAAACUUUGUGGAAAUUAAUAUUUGUGUCAUUCUCAACUUUUGGCCACGACUGUACAUACACAGCGUUCAACAGAGCUGCAGGAAUUGUGACCCAUUUUUGAUGAUUAUGUUGUCAUUGUUGUGUCUAGGGGGGCAUAUGGGGGGUAUGAAUAUUUUAUAAAUCAAUCUCAAUCGUUUAUCUUCUCCAGUGACGAAGAUAUGGAUGUCUCAUGGAAUGGUGUGUUGUAUGCAAAAUGGCUCAACUUUGAGCACCUUUUUAUAUUUCAAAUGUUUUGGCAAACAUUCACUUGCUGAACACUUCUACAAUGGGCAAAUAUGUAUGGACAUUUUUGUUAAAAUCAGAAAGGGGUGCUGUCAAAAAGUGAUUGAAUUCAAAUGGAUUUGCCUUAAUAUGAAGUAACGACAAUACUCUCCAUCACUACAUUUACACAGUUGCUCCUUAAAAGCCUGGGCAAGUUAUCAGAACUACAAUAAAGCAUUAGAAGUUAAUUCUGUUCAUUGGUAAACUAGGCUCAUAUUAAAUUCAUAAGAGCCAGCCAAUCAUUAUUCUUUAGACAUGAUUAUUCAUGGGGGAAAACCAUGCUUUAAGACAGCCGUUAUUGAUUCUCAGCCAACACAACAUGUAAACAACUUUUCAGUCAUCGCAUAUCCAAAUGCCUUUGGACCAGCAACGUAAAGAGGUAAACCAACGUAAUGUAAAUGCAUUGGAGUUAUGGUAAUAAUUAGCUUAACCCUAAUAAAGGAACACAUUUUUAUUGUAAUUCCAAUUUUCCUCCAAGAAAACUUCCACUUCCCCCAACACUCAUGUGUCAAUUGGUUUAAAGAGGAAUGGAAACACUUUAGGAAGUAAAUCUAAGCAAAGAGAUCUAUUCAAUCCACUAAUACUAAACAUGUGCAUUUAACAUAAAAACAGCUCUAUAUUUAGUAUUUUGAUCACCGACAAGUUUUAUUUGAUCUAUGGUCAGCGCCAUUUUAAAUUGCCGGAGUAACGACUGACGCCAGUGCGUCACUGGCAGGAAUCAGCAAAUUGUCUGUGGUAUUGAGUUUUCACGCGGAGAUUAAAUUGAAGAGAGUGAGGUUAGGGACGGACAACGAAGAUGGCAACAGCAAGUAGUAGUUCAAACAUAAACUGUAUAGCGCCAGGCUGUAUGAAUUGGCUCCAAAAACAACCCCUCGGUAAACUACCACCGGCUGCCCAAGGACCUACAACUUUUGAAGAAGUGGCUCCGUGUCCUGAAAAGGAAGGACGUGCCAGCUCGAGCUAGCAGGACCUGCAGACAGCAUUUAGUGGAGGCAGACUUCGCGAUGAAGGGCACUUUCGAUGUUAUGGUGUAGGGGUUACCGACCAUCAUCAACAUCGCUGACUUUGGAGUCAAGCAAAAGCGACUGAACGGAGGAGGCAACACGAGUCAAUGCAAUGGAGCCUGAGGAUGACAUCUUCAUCCCUGAAAAUGUUUUCAUCCUGGAGGAGACUGUGCAGGAGGCAGUUGGAAAGAACGGUUAGUACAGCAUGCCAAACGGACCCCAUGGUGUCAGAGUGUUCCUGUGCUGCGGUGGAGAAGAGGUCCACCGGGACCAUCACUAAAGAGCUCUGUGCCCAGCUAGAUUGCGCACAAGACCAUCAGUAUACAACCGAGUCCUGCCCCUAUACGCCACAAAUGGCGCUGACGUAGAGUGAGAUCAGUGAAGACCAUAACUCACUGUAUGAACCCGAGAUCUCAGAAACACAAUCAUCACAGUGCGAGCCAAAAUAUACUAUCGAUCACUUUGGGGUAGCAGGAUGGUGUUCCAAAAAUGGAGAAGGCCAUUCAACAGCGAAUUCAAAGAUACACCAAUCCAUAAAGGGAAUCGGAGUGGAAUUGUUUUUCUUUUACCCGUUUCAACGGAUGUGCUACCUUGUCCCGGUUCUGCUGUUUCAACUCUCUCAACCUAUGAAUGCUCAGCUAUGAAAAGCCAACUGACAUUUGCUCCUGAGGUGUUGAACUGUUGCACCCUCUGUGGUUAUUAUUUUGAUGGAAAAGGGGCUUUUGUAAAAUGUAUUUGAUUUGUUUUCUGUGCUGUGUAUUCACUAACUCUCUGAGUGAUGGGACAUUUUUAUAGUGUCUGUAACAUAUUUUGGUGUGUAUUUUAAUCUGCAUCUUAACUUCUUAAAGUGGCAUUCAGCAGUAGAAACAAUAACAAAGUGUCUCCCUGCUCCUCUUUUGGUAAAAAGCUGAGGGAUGGGUCUGGAGAAAUGUAACCAUUCUCAAAUUCAUAGACAGAGCUAUAGAUGCAAGGACUGACCAUUCCUAGUUUAUGUCACUAUUCUAGUGACGGGGACAUGGGAUUAGUGCGCACUGAAACUAGUUUUAAUCUUCAAAGCAAGUUUAUCUGGUUACGCUUGAACCUGUUGUUAUAGUGGACAAGCUCACUAAUACUAUUUUUACAUAAUGUGCAGGCAUUAGGUCUAUGUCUUAGGCUAGAUUUACUAAAUGAACUGGUUUGAUUCAACCUUUUAUUCAAUGCCUUUGCUUCUGGCUAUGCGUGCCUGCUGGAAGAAACGACACACGCAGGGUUGAGACGCCGUACACCUCGUCCAAUUCUCUCAUGCCCAUAGGGUAAACUGGCGAUAAACUGCCAGCCUGUAUGCUCUGUAAACAAAAUCACAAGAGAAGUUGGUCUGAUACUGAAAAUAAAUCACAAUGUAUUUAUAAUGAGCACACCCCAUUAUUGGUUAGAAUAUUUCAUGAAUCAUGAUGCUGUCUGCAAUUUGGACUCCGGAUGCCUAAUCUAAAGGUAAAUGUGUUACCAACGUGCCAAACAGCGCUGAUGAUAAACAUCGUUAUGGGAUACUGAUUACAUAUAUUGAGCACCUACCCACGACUGAUAUUAACCUUAAACAAUUUAUAAUCAAGCAAAAUUUCACCAAUUAUUUAACUGGCAUAUCGGCUGCUGAUUGGUCAAGUAACUUAUUCUGCCAGGAAGUCCUUCAUAAGGAUUAGUGACAUGUCCAAUAAAUACAUCGCCACCCAGACAGACUAACAGGAACCUCUGACUGGAUGUAAUACAGCCACCAUCCGCUGGGAAUUUGUGCUGUAUCGCCACCAUCUCUCUACAACACACACACUCCUUCCUACUCUAGCCAUUAUCUGGCAGCAUCCCCACUCACACCAGUUUGUGUUUGCCAACGCCGACCGUCAUGCUGAGGUGUUUCAGUCGGCAUAUCUGUGUUACUGCUACGAGAACGAACUCUUUUGAUCUGGGGCAACGAUUGGCUCAAACAUGAAUGGCUUCAGUAGGUUUAUUGGCUCCGGGCUUCUGGUUGAGCAAUGUAGAAAGAAGUUGCACGAGGUCUCUUCUCUGACAACUUUUGUAAAUAAUCCUCAAUAUCGCCUAAAUUCAUACUUCUAAUGACCUCAAGUCAUUUAAAUUACCCAGUAAUAGAGUGUAUUUAAGUUAGCAUGAGCAAACCAGUCACACACUUUGGAAAAUUGACAAAAAGAUUCACACUCCACCAAAUCAACUAGAGCUAAAAUGGCUACCAUCCCAACUUCAUUUAAGGCUUCAAAAGCCACUCCCCAAUGACAAGGAUGUCCAGUGUUAGAGAGCUGGCGAAAUCGCAUUAAAGUUUGGCAGCAGAAUUCACCGAAUUGCUGAAAGUCUCACUGGCGGCUGCACUGGCUCCAAUUCAGUCAACCGGGGUUCUGUGGCAUCUCACACUACCACACUGGCCAAAGUUGAGGCCGGGCUGUCUGGACACAGGGACCAACUCACUACAUUGGAAACCAGGCUUGAUGAUGUGGCCGCCGCCAACAAGUCACUGCAGCUACAAGUGGAAGAUUUGAUUUCACGUUCAUAAAGCCAGCAUAUCCGCGUGAUUGGACUGACAGAGGAUUCUGAGAAAGGAUCGCCAACCCAGUUCAUGGCGGAGCUGUUCAAGGAAGUUUUGGGCGUUGAGGCUUUUCCCAAUCUCCCUGAACUCGAUAGAGCCAACCGCAGUCUUGCACCGAAACCUCGCCCAGCUGGCCGACCAUGUCCCAUCAGUGUGGUUCCAUUGAUACAAAGAAAAUGAGCUCGUCCUUCGGUGGGUAAGGGAACAUGGCGACAUCACUUUCCAAGGCCACAAGAUCAAGUUCUACCAGGAUUUCAGUUCUAGCCUGGCGAAGAAACAGGCCGCGUUCAACGACAUCAAGUCCACUCUGUACAAGAAGGGAAUCCGCUUUGGGCCGAUUUUUAUCCUGCCCGUCUACAAGUCACCUUUAAAAGCGAGGUCCAUUUUUUUCAGAAACUCCUGACGAAGCUGAGUCCUUCUACCGACAGCGCAUACAUUGAAUGCCUGAAUUGGGAUGAUUUCUCACCUGCCUGUAUUGUGAGUAACGUUAGUUCUAGUGACUAGAGGUCGACCGAUUAUGAUUUUUCAACGCCAAUACCGAUAAAGAUUAUUGGAGGACCAAAAAAAGCCGAUACCGAUUAAUUGGCCCGGUUUUUAUUUUUAUUUAUUUAUUUAUUUGUAAUAAUGACAAUUACAACAAUACUGAAUGAACACUUAUUUUAACUUAAGAUAAUACAUCAAUAAAAACAUUUUAGCCUCAAAUAAAUAAUGAAACAUGUUCAAUUUGGUUUAAAUAAUGCAACAACAAAGUUUUGGAGAAGAAGGUAAAAGUGCAAUUAUGUGCCAUGUAAAAAAAAAAAAAAAAAAAGGUAACGUUUAAGUUCCUUGCUCAGAACAUGAGAACAUAUGAAAGCUGGUGGUUCCUUUUAACAU